rnacentral:rRNA from 2 species
CUAUUAAACAAGAUAAGAGUUUUUGGUGGAUGCCUUGGGUCUGGAAGUCGAUGAAGGACGUGAUUACCUGCGAUAAGCCUCGGUUAGUUGGAAAUGAACUGUGAUCCGGGGAUUUCCGAAUGGGGAAACCUAAUUGAGCUAAUCCUCAAUUAUCAUAUCGAUGAAUAAAUAGUCGAAUGAAGAGACACGCUGUGAAUUGAAACAUCUCAGUAGCAGCAGGAAGAGAAAAUAAAGAAUGAUUCCCUAAGUAGUGGCGAGCGAAAGGGGAAAAGCCCAAACCAACAUUUGUUGUUGGGGUUGUAGGACUACAUUUCAGAGUUACAAAAUUUGCAUAUAGCAGAAUAAGUUGGAAUGCUUAAACAAAGAGGGUGAAAUUCCCGUAAGCGAAAUAUGCAAAUCUCUUUGUAGUAUCCUGAGUAGGGCGGGGCACGUGAAACCCUGUCUGAAUCUGCCGGGACCACCCGGUAAGGCUAAAUACUAACCAGACACCGAUAGUGAACUAGUA